UACGUAGGGUGCGAGCGUUGUCCGGAAUUAUUGGGCGUAAAGAGCUUGUAGGCGGUUUGUCGCGUCUGCUGUGAAAAUCCGGGGCUCAACCCCGGACUUGCAGUGGGUACGGGCAGACUAGAGUGUGGUAGGGGAGACUGGAAUUCCUGGUGUAGCGGUGAAAUGCGCAGAUAUCAGGAGGAACACCGAUGGCGAAGGCAGGUCUCUGGGCCACUACUGACGCUGGAGGAGCGAAAGCAUGGGGAGCAAACAGG
rnacentral:rRNA from 1 species